UGGCCCCGUUUCAGCCUCUCUCUGGGGGUUCGUAGGAGCGUUUCCAGGUGAAAAACCCACCGUCCGCCUACAUCCAGAAGCUGAAGAGCUACUUGGACACGGGUGGUGUCAGCAGGAAGUUCAAGAGGCGAGUGCAGGAGUCGACGCAGGUUCUCCGGGAGCUGGAGAUUUCCUUGAGGACCAACUACAUCGGCUGGGUCCAGGAGUUCCUCAACGAGGAGAACAAGGGGCUGGACGUGCUGCUGGAGUAUCUCGCCU